UACGUAGGGUCCGAGCGUUGUCCGGAAUACUGGGCGUAAAGCGUGCGCAGGCGGUGAUGUAAGACAGUUGUGAAAUCCCCGGGCUCAACCUGGGAACUGCAUCUGUGACUGCAUCGCUGGAGUGCGGCAGAGGGGGAUGGAAUUCCGCGUGUAGCAGUGAAAUCGUAGAGAUCGGGAGGAAUACCAGAGGCGAAAGCGGCGGCCUGGACAGUUACUGACACUCAACUGCGAAAGCGUGGGGAGCAAACAGG
rnacentral:rRNA from 1 species